AGUAAGCUGCAAAUUCAGCAAGGCAAAGGUUAUCAACUACAGGGAUAGUUGUUGGUCUUUUAGGGUAACGCUCAAUCAGGUUAGACUUAAAUAUGUCAGUACUAUCAUCUUCAAGAUCUUUUAGUUGUUGUUUUGAUUUUGCCACCCAUAUUCUCUUAUCUGGUAAAUCUCUACUAACAAACACUGUUCCAGGAAAUAUUUUUCUCAACCAAAGUUCAGGCAUACACCUGUAUACGCAUUCCUGUGAACUAACUUCUCUAGUGGAAAGAAAAGCAGCACCAAUCUUUUUCAAGCAAUCUGUGACAUUCAUGUUUGAUGCUUUAGCUUCUUUUGCUGCAUUCAUUAUUGCUUGUGAGCAUUCUGUUUCAUCUUUUGUGAAGUAUGAGCAGACAUAUGUAAUGCACUUAUAGUGGUUAAAAAACAGGUUGCAAGUCUACAUUUGCAGAAAAUCCUUUUAUACCAGCUAUGAAGUAAUUGUUAAUAAAUCAGCUAUCAAGUGGUCUUAUAAGGUGUAGUUUAUAGUCAGAGUCUGGUGAUGUUGAUAGUGCUGAGUAAUAUUGUUCUUCAGUUAUGCCUAGUGAAUUAAAAAUGCUAGAUUCAAUUAAAUUGGGGUCAUAACUAUCUGGUUUACUGGGAUGUAAUACCUUAUUUAUUUUCUCUUACAGCUGUAAGUAUUUCCUUCUGUUUGUUAAGAGCUUGUAACUUAAGUUCCUCAUCAAGAUCAGCUGGCAGUGGUUCUGCUACAAUUGUUCUGUUUGUGAAGAACUGACCAAAAUUAAAUCUACAUUGAAUGUUUUUGUAUUUUCUACAGGUUUUUGAAUGACUGUGCUUUUGGUAAAAAUUAAAAAAGUCAUGUAACUCUUGCUCUGUUUCUUUAUUGGGUAGGAAAGCCUGUACAUGUUUAUCUACAAACUUAAUGUAAGCUUGUUUAGUAUCUUGUGCCAGCUUGGGACAAUCUGAAGUCCAUAUUAAUGCAUUUAAGUGAGUUGAACCUCUCAUUUGAAACUCAAUUCGAAGAGCAUAGUACACUACUUUGCCAAUAGUAUUUGCAUUGCUUAGUAAAAUUUCAGUUAAGAAUGUUUCAACUCUGUACUGGAAAUGUUUUGCAACAACAACAGGGUUAAGAUUUAACAUUGAACAUUUCUCAUUAUAAGACAUUGCUUCAACUUGUUCAUGUGUCAUGUCCAUUCCUCUUGUUCUGGCAAUUAUUUGAAAUAAUUCAGGCCAUCUUAGGUCAGCAUAAACCAAGUAGGAAUACCAAGCUGCUUCACCAUUGCUACUACUUCAUACAUAAAUUUCUGCCAGUAUGGUGGUGUACCUGGGAUCUGUCUUAAAAACAGGUAUGCUUGAUCCUGACAAAUAAGGUUCUCUAAAUUUUGUGCAUUUGAUCGUAAUUGAGCAGCAGUAACAGAUUGACCAUGUACUUUCCUCAUGGCAAUUUUGAUACUAUCUGAUACUUUCUUUUGUUCAAUAAUAAACUGUGCAAAGAACAGGUAUUCUGAAUUAGUUGCAAAUCUACCACUAUGAUGUAAAAGUCUGGCAUUGAAAUAUUUUGUUGGUGUUAGUUUUAUGGUUCUUUCUGUUUGAUAUCCAAAUUUGCCUUGCUAGUUCUUCACAUUGUUUAUCCAUCAUAAAUGAUACAGGGUGUCUAUUCUCACCUGGAGCUAUAUUGUAUAUUUCAUUCCCAGUUGAAAUGUCGUCAUUUUCUAUAGUGACAGGAUAAUCAGGUAUGAUUGACUGUAUGCAUGUUUCAUUUGUUGCAGCUAUAUGCUUAUCAUUGGAUCAUCUUUCUCUUCCUCCUUUCCAUUAGCUUUUUGCAAUUGGUCUGCACUGUUAUUAUUUAUGUUGUUAGUAUCAAUUGGACUGUUGGGGUUAAUACUCUGAGGUAGUACUUCUGAAUGAGAUUGAUCACCAAGUGAUGUCAGAGUAGAGGCUAUAUUUCCAAUGUCUAUUGUUAUUGUAUGAUAUAAUGGAUUGUUUGCUCUAAGCCAGUUAAGAGUAUUGAGUAAAAGUUGAGGACGUACAGCUUGAAAAUAUAAAUGACCUCUAAAAUCUAAUUUACUUUUUAGUUUAAGCAUAAUUAUACCAGAUCUCUCAGGAGGGCGUGGUAAUAUGUGAGAUGUCUGUUCACACUUAACAGAAUUUCUCUAAAACAGCAAGCUCAUCAGGGAUUUCGUGAACCUCCAUUUUAUUGCAUACAGCUUGACAUGGUAUUUCAUUCUUGAUUACCUUGGAAUGACAUGUUUUACAGAUGUAUUCCUUACCAUUGAAUGAUUGCUGUACAUGCAGCAGCAGUAAUAGUAAUAGUAAUAGUAGUAAUAGUAAUAGUAGUAGUAGUGGUAGUAGUAGUAGUAGUAGUAGUAAUAGUAGUAAUAAUAAUAGUAAUAAUAGUAAUAAUAAUAAUAAUAAAAGUAAUAGUUUAUUACAAAAGUCUGAAUUACAGUGAAGGGUCAUGUACGCCACUACUUUACACAAUGUUACUGAAAUCGCACACUAACAAAAUUAUUAAACCUGUCUGUAUUUUCUUGAAACCUAUCGGUACGCAUGUAGCUAGACCGGAGUGAGUAUCUAUGGUUGACUUCUGUAGCUUUAGGAAUGAUAUAGUUUAGAGGAGGUGAUAUCUUUGCUUUGGUGACAAAACUCUCACAGAGGCUAUCACGGCGAGCAGAUAAGGACAUGUGCCCUGCAUUGGUAAGAGCCGUGCAAUAAUCAGUCUGCGGGAAAAUAACGCGCAUCGCUCUCCUUUGCACCGCUUCCAGCAAAUCUGAUACGAAAACUGGUAGACCUGCCCACACUGGUGCUGCAUAUUCUAGUACCGAUCUUAUCAACGCAUAGUAUAUGCGGACUAAGUCAUUAGACUGGACACCGGGUAUUUUUAGUGAUCUUAAGGCAUAUAACCGCUUGCUGGCCUUCUUAAUAACGUACUCUACAUGCACGUUCCGCAUGAGGUCCCUACUCAAGUGGACUCCAAGGAUCAUGUAACUAUCCACUCUCUUAAUAGGUAAACCAGAAAUAUACAACUCCCCAGGGAGGGAAGGUUGGUAUUGAAGGAAGCUAACACUCAGUUCUCUGCAUUUCUUCGGGUUAAGUCGCAUGCCACGACUGGAGGCAAAGUUACUAAUGUCAUUUACGACUACUUGUAGGUAGCUAGGACUACAACGCGGGAUUACCUCAAAUACGGUUGUGUCAUCUACAUAUUUUAUACGUGCUGGCCAUUGUGUCACUAGCUUGUUUACUAAUAUCGCGAACAACAGAGGUGCUAGCUGUGACCUAUCCGUAAA